rnacentral:rRNA from 1 species
GCUUACACAUGCAAGUCGAACGCGAAAGGGGGCAACCCUGAGUAGAGUGGCAAACGGGUGAGUAAUACAUCGGAACGUGCCCAGUAGUGGGGGAUAACUAGUCGAAAGAUUAGCUAAUACCGCAUACGAUCUACGGAUGAAAGCGGGGGUCGCAAGACCUCGCGCUAUUGGAGCGGCCGAUGUCAGAUUAGCUAGUUGGUGGGGUAAAAGCUCACCAAGGCGACGAUCUGUAGCUGGUUUGAGAGAACGACCAGCCACACUGGAACUGAGACACGGUCCAGACUCCUACGGGAGGCAGCAGUUAGGAAUAUUGGACAAUGGGCGCAAGCCUGAUCCAGCCAUGCCGCGUGCAGGAAGAAGGCCUUCGGGUUGUAAACUGCUUUUGUACGGAACGAAAAAGCCCUGGUUAAUACCUAGGGCUGAUGACGGUACCGUAAGAAUAAGCACCGGCUAACUACGUGCCAGCAGCCGCGGUAAUAC